rnacentral:rRNA from 1 species
UACGAGGGGUGCAAGCGUUGCUCGGAAUUAUUGGGCGUAAAGGGUAGGUAGGUGGUCUCAUUUGUCUGGGGUGAAAGCCUUGAGCUUAACUCAAGAAGUGCCCCGGAAACGGUGAGACUCGAGUCCUGGAGAGGGUCGUGGAAUUCCCGGUGUAGCGGUGAAAUGCGUAGAGAUCGGGAGGAACACCAGAGGCGAAGGCGGCGACCUGGACAGGUACUGACACUCAACUACGAAAGCGUGGGGAGCAAACAGG